rnacentral:rRNA from 1 species
AUUGAACGCUGGCGGCAGGCUUAACACAUGCAAGUCGGGCGGGGGAGGUUGCUUCGGUAACUGACCUAGCGGCGGACGGGUGAGUAAUGCUUAGGAAUCUGCCUAUUAGUGGGGGACAACAUUCCGAAAGGGAUGCUAAUACCGCAUACGCCCUACGGGGGAAAGCAGGGGAUCUUCGGACCUUGCGCUAAUAGAUGAGCCUAAGUCGGAUUAGCUAGUUGGUGGGGUAAAGGCAUACCAAGGCGACGAUCUGUAGCGGGUCUGAGAGGAUGAUCCGCCACACUGGGACUGAGACACGGCCCAGACUCCUACGGGAGGCAGCAGUGGGGAAUAUUGGACAAUGGGCGGAAGCCUGAUCCAGCCAUGCCGCGUGUGUGAAGAAGGCCUUUUGGUUGUAAAGCACUUUAAGCGAGGAGGAGGCUCUUAAGGUUAAUACCCUUGAUGAGUGGACGUUACUCGCAGAAUAAGCACCGGCUAACUCUGUGCCAGCAGCCGCGGUAACAC